rnacentral:tRNA from 1 species
GGUGGGUUAGUUCAGUGGUUAGAGCUUAGGAUUUGUGACCUGAAGGUCCCGGGUUCGAAUCUCACAAGAAGCA